GUUCCUUUUUUGCAACAUGUUUAUUGAGAAGCAACUGCGUUCCUGCCUGCCCAGAGCUCGAAGUGUUAGGGGCACCAGUCUGAUGGAGAUCCGAACAGUGUAGGACCACAGCCCGGCAAAGGGGCACUCAGCGUGGGUUUGGGAUUAAGUGAGAACCACUUACCUUUGCAGCUAGCCUCGAGCCCUGCACCCAGGACCUGAAGCUCAGGGAGGGAGGGAGGCUGUCCAACCGGCAAGGGGCCUGGGCAGAACUUCCUGAGAAGGCUCAAGAAGCCUGGUUCACCACAAUGGUCUGUGGGUGGGUGCCUGCCUUUCCUCAACAUCCUUGGACUGCCAGGUGGCACAUGCCUGUAAACCCAGCACUCAGGAGGCUGAGACAGGAGGACUACCAUGGAGUUCCAGGCCAACCUGGGGUACAUGGUUCAAGGCCAGCCUGAACUACAUAGCAAGACUGUCAACUUCAAAGGAAAAAAAGCCCCCAGACCUCAGUCUAUUUUGUCCACCUGAGAAAUGGGGCUAGGUGCUCUACUAUCUGUGACAACAAGCUGCAGAGAACAAGCAAAAGCACAGCCCUGCCUGGGAGCAGGCAGAACAGCUGCAACUGCCCCACCCACCCUGCCUGCCCGGCCAGGAGUCUGGCAGAGUCCCAGUCCCCUCUGGCCUCAGUGUUUGAUAUGGACCCAGCUCUCAUGGUGAUGGUGAGGCUGAAUCUGUAGCUAAAAAUACCCAGGAGCCCAGCCAGCUGCUCAGUGCUUCCUUGGAGGCCUCGUGGCUGGCACAGGAGCCAGACACACCUGCCCUCCCCAGGCUGCUUCCAAGUGGCAAGGUGUCCCGGGACCCUCACCACCCUCUUGCUCACAAUGGGGUCCUGGAGACAGCGAGCUGGUUCCUGCCACAAGAUCUGCUGGGCCCCAGGAAGGUCGGGGAGAUACCAGGUGGCUUUUGUGGGGCGAGCUCAUGUGUGAUUACCCUGCCACAGGGAGGCCAACGGGGACUCUGAGCCUGGAGAGAAAUGGGCAAAGUCCAGCUACCACAAGCCAGGUGGGGGCUGAUGACGCCCACUUCCGGGGCGUUGGAAACCAUAAAUCAAUUAUUUAACACCCGGCUGGUGAGAGAUAAAAACCCCAGGCCCAGGAAGGAGCCUGGACACCCAAGGGCCCGGAGGGAGGAAAUGGCGACCAGGCCACUUAUCUGCCAAGGUACCUGGCACCUGGCCGCAGGUCUCUGCAAGCCCCAGCGGCCACCAGCACUGGAGGGCAGUGACUUUCCACAGCACAAAGCACUGCCCGCACCCAGCCGCUCGCCACCUGCGGUCACAGGUACUGGGGCUGACGCAGAAGUGGAAGCCAGGAGUUCGGGCAACAAGGCAGGAUCCUAUCUUUUCAACACUUUGGAACGGCUCACAAGGUUACACCCAGUUCUCUGCUCCAGUCCCGCGGGCAGGGGUUGCUGGGGGGUCACAGGCAGCUGGAGAACGCACAGGGUAGGUGACUCCACAACGUUUGGACGCCUCUCUCCUUGGUCCGAGCAGCGGCAGCCAUCUCCACCCCCAGGGUCCUAAAUAAAGGUCAGAUUCCACGCUCAGGCUCCCACUGGAGAUGCCCGGAAGGGGCGGGGACACAGGCGGCUCUUAGUAAGGCCGCGCAGGCCACCCCCCAGGCCAGUCGGCCGCCCUUCCGCCGGCGUGGCCCUCUCUCUGCAGGCCACAGCAGCCCCGCCCCAGGAUCGGGGUGGCGGUGUACGCCCCCGCUCGGGGGGCGGAGGAGGAGGAACAGAAGGACAGAGCGCCCCGCCCUACCGGGCUCCAGGACGCCGGGGAUGCUGGGGGAGGGGACGCGACGGUCACGGGGUCGGAAGCAGGUACGAGGCUUCCAGUAGGGCCCGGACGCCUCUCCUUUCCCAAGACCCCGAUUCACACCCAGAGCCCAGUGCGGCGCUCAACCGCUCGCUCUGGUCCGUCCCAGGGCCUCGCAGAUUUCGCUGGGAGAGGAAGACAAACCAAUCUGAGCCGAGAGCGCGCGCGGCGGGAGGUGAAGACCCCUCGGGGCUCCGUCCGGAGCAGCGGAGCCCCAGGCGGUCCGGGGAGUUCGGUGAAGUCAAACCGGGAAGGGGAAGCGGAGGUUCCAGGGCCUCAGUAAUAGGACCUGGCUCGCUCUCCUCCCUCCCAGGGCUGGGAGAAGCGGGAUGAGCCCUUUCUUUAGCAGAGGACAUUGGUCACUGAAGACCCAGCUGAGAGCCAACGACAGCACGCAGGCUACUUCCAACCCCGCAGCUCCGGGGCCGGGGUGCCAGCAGACGGCGGGCCCAGGGCCAGGGGAGCCCAAAAUAACCCAGACAGCUUCGGCCGGAAGGUGCCACGAGCCCGGGCUCCGGGUGAAGACACCUGGAGCUUGGGUGCUAGUGGUGGCCUCGCGUGGCUGAUCCCAAAUCAGGCCUCGGCCUCCAGCGAGACUCUAACAACAGGGAAGGAGGAGGAGCCGAGCAGCCGACUGACAGCCCCUCCCCUGCCCGAGGCCGGGCCACGUGCUGGGGGGUGGGGUGGGCGGGGAUCCGGAGACGGGGGGGGGCCUCCCCGCGCUGCCACUCCCCGCACCCGGAGCUCACGAAGGCCCAGUGGUGCGGGCCGCUUGGAGGCUGGCCGGUAAUCGCGCUUAAUCCUCCCACCACCCUCUCGGCAAGCCUCGCCACGGCCACUCUCCGGCAGAGACACCCGCCCAAGGUCACCGGCGUCCACAUUCCAACCCACGGCAGCCUGGCCCAGGUGCCCCUCGGUUGAGCACGCAGGUGCCUGCAACAAAGCCUGCCCGGCUCCCCCAGGCCACAGCUCGGCGGUCAUGCUGGUUUGGGGGGGCAGGGCGGCAGCGAGAUCGGCGCCACCUGGACCCAAAUGGCUCGGUCAAAGUAAUCGCAAACUAGGGCUCACGUGGGGACAGGGCGUAGAGAUCAAGGGCCACGCCAUCUCCAGCUGCGGAGCUUCUUGGACACGAGGAGGGGGCGAAUUACGCGAGGUCGGCUUGUGUAAGAACAAGAGCCGCACUGAGCAGGAAGCCACUGCUAUGUGCCCAGCGCCUACCUCCCAGCCCAGAGGAGCUCAGAACACAACACGGGACCUUGUUAGAAAUCCAAGUUCUCAGGUUCCACCUGCUGAAUCGAGAACUCGGGGCCAGGGGCCCUUUGCAAGAGGUGGAUUCUGAUACCGGCUCGAGACAGACUAGCCACCCCAGCUCCAUUUUGUAGAUGGGGAAGCCGGGGCUCACGAGACCCAGCAGCUUAAGCAAGGUCACAGCUGGUCAGAGGCAGCUGAGGUUUCACAGGGAAACCAGGCCACAUGCGCUUGCUCAUUUAGGGAAGCAGGAGGAAACUGGGAAUCCCGGGACAGGGAGGACAGUCAAGGAAACCUCUUUGUCCAGGAAAGCUGGCCCAGAUCUCUGGUUCUCGUGUUCUUUGCCUCUCUAGCACCCGGACAUAAGAGGGUGGUUGCUCUACAGUCACCCUAAAAUCCCCCACGGGGGCUGGAAGGCAGGGCAGCAGCACCUGGGCUUCCAGGCAGUGGCCUGUGCCUUUCAGAAGGCACCCAGAGCCAGCCCCCCCCGCCAAAAAACCCCGAUACUUGUUAGCCUGGCCUCUAGUAAGCAGCUAAAUUCGGCAGAGAAUUGCCCGCCCCAAAUGCCUGACAACAGAAGCUGGCAGGCGGAGCUGAAGUGCCCCAGCAGGCCGCCCAUUUCACACUCAGCCGCCACAUCUGUGUGGGGGAGGGGCUGCAGAACCAGCCCGGCAGGUGGGGGACACCCGCCCUCCCCUGGGCUGCAGGCCAGAGCUCCUCAGUCUCCCUCACAGCCAGGCACAGGGCUGUCACCUACCUUUGACGGGAGGAUUGUCAAACUAGGCCUGCUCCUGCUGUCCAAGGGAAGGAAGGGUUGUCCACUCCGCGGGUAACCGGUUGUUGCCCCUUCUCCAGCCAAGAACCUGGGGAAAGAAUGUGGAAGGCCUGUCAGGGCAGCCCCCAGCUUGUGGGUCAGAGACUGUGACUGUCCAAAUGCAAACCUGUCGGUAUCCUAGACAGACUCGCCAACGCCACCCCCCUUGCACAGCUGCCAAGGCGGCCCUCAGGGUGGAAUGGAUUGGGGUGGGGGGGUGAGCCACGAAGAGUUCAGCCCAGGCGAGGAGUGGCGGGAGGCGACUCAUCUGCAUUUCCAAAGGCCCGCCCCGUCAGCAUCCCCUCCCCCAAGUUGGGUUGGCAAAAAGGCGGCUUCGCUGAGGACUGUUUACUGCUCUGGAUAUAGCAAUGGUGUGACCGUCAUUAAGAGACAAAAGGCGAAAACACACAGUCAAAUCAAACAAAAGGCAAAAGGCGCACCAGCCAUCCCAACCACCAUAGAAAAUACGACCGAGUUAUCGUUGGUGUUUGGCUUGAACCAGCUAGGACUUGUUUUCCAGCUUUAAUCUAGUUUCCUGUGACGGUUUUCGUCUUUCUACACAAAGAGAAGGUCUUCCUUUUUCUAACCAUCCCCCCUCCACCACCACCAAGACGAGAAAAACAGAGCUGUUUUUCUUCAAAUAGAUCGAUUUUCAAAGAGUGUAAACGUUACUGGGAAGGCUGACUAGCAUUUAUUGCUAUAAACAUUUUCAAAAGCUUGAAGCUAAAACCUUAAGCUUUAUAUAAGCAAAAUCGUCUAAAAAGCAUUUUCACUGGCUCAUAUUAGACAAGAGACAAAGACAGACAUGCAGAUGAAGGUUCAGAAAAUUAAGGACAGCUCAGCCAACAUUAACAAGAAAACUGCACUGCAUAAGGACAGAAUGGAUUGGGUACUUACAAUGUAAAAGGUUUUUAGAAACUUAAGAGUAACGACUGCUCACACAUUUUUUUGUUGCUGCCAUUUCGCUAGUCCUAAAACUAUACAUUUAAAACAUUACCUUGUUAAAAAGAGAGGAGUUAUUAAGAUGGCCAGGUUUAAGUGUUUAAUAGAGGAAACUAUAUUUAAAAAUUUAUUGUUCAGUCAAGAGAAUACAGAUUAAGACAGCGCCAAGCUCCCCCCACCCACCCAAGAAAAAAAAGAGGAAAAAAAUUAAAUGUCAUUUACUUAGGUUUUUUGGAAUUCAAAACUGUUAACUGCUGACAUUAAUGGUGUGCUAUGACCUAGUUAUACAAGACAAAGAUGGAUUCCAAGUCAUAAGGAAAAAUCCAGAUCUUUUUAAAAGGUCUUCUUCAUUCUUCCAAUUUUGAGUCCUUUAGCCUGUUGACAAAUGUUAAACAACACAUGCAAGCGUCCUGAACUGGAUGGUGGAGUCAAAGGAAAAACAUUCCCCACUCGCAACAAAGGAAAAACCCACUUGGCCAUUUAAUUCCAUUGCAGAAAAAUGGCUCCCCUCAUCUGUUGGCCUCUCCUUGGUGUCUGAUGAAGGAUGUUUUGAGAUCAGCGUCUAAUAACUCAAACCCUAUAGAAGCCGAGCGCUGAUUGGCUGCCGCGCCCUGCCGCUCAGCUCCAGCCAAUUACCUACCCACGGCCAAAUUACAAACCCCGAAAAGAGCCCCAAUAUGAAAUACACCGCCACGAAGCCCCAGUCAGGCGGCUCCUUCGCCUUGGCCGCCCGAGAAGAGAGGCAGAGGGGGCUGUGAACGCGUCCUCGCCAAGCCCGGGAGCCUCGGAGUUGAACUCACAAGAUGGAAGCCGCGCGCUGAUUGGCCGCCGCCACUCCCGGACCUUUAAUAAAGAAAGGGGAAGGGAAAGAAAUGCAAAAAAGGGGGGGACUCUGUCGCUGGUGGCUGGAGGAAAGAGGUGGGGUGGUGGUGGAGAAGAGAAGCAUGUGUUCAGGACAAUUACAGGGCUGUUCCUCUUCAAAAAUAAAAACAGAAAGAAAGAAAAAGCUUCCAUCACCCAGUUCCAGGCGAGGGCUGCAACCUUCCCAGGCAUGCGAAUGCUAAUACGGUUCAAAUCCUGUUUUCCCCUCCCCAGCUCGGCGCCGGGGGGAGGGGGUCGCCGGCCGGAGAGGAAGCCAGAGAGCAGAAACCUCGAUUGCAACUCCUCCUGGGUCGACGUCUGUCCACCCCCCCAUCGCGGGUCCCAGCGUCCAAACACACAUAAUCGCCCCCCUAGAAGCCCAGCCCUCUCCCUCGAGUCCCGCGCGCCCACCUCCGGGCUCAGCAGUUUGCAAACACUUGGGGAGACCCGGGGCGCACGCCGAGGCGGCCGCCGCUCGAGGGGUCGCCCCAGCCAGCCGCGG
ensembl:lncRNA